ACUCAAAUGAAUUGACGGGGACCCGCACAACUGGUGGAGCGUGUGGUUUAAUUCGAGACGAAGCGAAACACCUUACCAGGGCUUGACAUGCUACCGUUUUAUACCUUUUGAAAGAUUGGUAGAUCCGCAAGGAUGGUAGCACAGGUGAUGCAUGGCUGUCGUCAGCUCGUGUCGUGAGAUGUUCCCUUAAGUGGGGAAACGAGCGCAACCCCCGUGAAAUGUUAAAUAUUCAUUUCAGACGGUCCCGAUCAUAUCGGGAAGGAAGGAGGGGAAGACGUCAAGUCAGCACGUCCCUUAUGCCCUGGGUUACACACACCCUACAAUGGCGAAUAACAAAGAGCCGCAAGUACGCGAGUGCAAGCAAAUCUCUAAAAUUUCGCCUCAGUUCAGAUUGGAGUCUGCAACCCGACUCCAUGAAGGAGGAAUCAGUAGUAAUCGCGGAUCAGCAGGCCGCGGUGAAUACGUUCUCGGGUCUUGUACACACCGCCCGU
rnacentral:rRNA from 1 species